UUCCAGGCACUGGACCUUCUGAGUGCCUCUCAAGUUGCUCAGCUGACCCUAACAUCUGGAGCGCUGAACAACGCAGAUCUGAUCACCAUGGUCUUUGAGCGUCUUGACGGCAGCAAUGCUUUCCAGGAUGUGGACCAGUUCUUGACGGUUCUCACCCAGACCUCGCAGGUUUUGAACAUCAGCCCUGUGGUGAGAGACAUCAUGAUGAAUGGAACCUUCCAAAUCAUCCGCCUUUAUUUCGCCGAGUUCACGAGCUACGACUGGAUUUCCUGGUUCACGCUGAAACUGAGUCCGGUCCUUUCCAGCUUGACUGCAGAGAUGCUCCAGACAGUAACAUCAUAUACCGACUGUGACGCAUACCACAUCAUGUACGUAACGAUUUCCAUAUGCUAGCCAGCUCUGCAAUGUUUUCAGUUUUCUGCGUCAUGCUUAGAUUUCUUCUGCCGUGUUUUGAUCCAAUCUAGCGUCGGGGCUCUGAGCAGCCACUUUGAGCAGAUGACAUCGCUGAGACAGCAGGAGCUCACCGCAGUCCUGUUGGGCUACCUAAAGCAGAGUCAGGCAUCAGGUAGGUCCAGCAUAGGCAGCGCUUGUUUGUCUUGUGGGCUAAAUAAAAUAGCAAUUCUUGGUGUCUGUGCAUCUUCGUCCGUCCUAACGAGUCUCUUUUGCACGUCCCUGUCGCAGGCUCAACCUGUGGGUCCGACACCAGCAGCCUCAGUGUUUGGCUUGAAGAGAGCUUUGGCAAAUUCUCUGUCUACGUGGACUACCAAGACCUGCGUGCACUCAACGAGGCAUUUGGAAGUUUCCAGGCACUGGACCUUCUGA
rnacentral:lncRNA from 1 species